GACAGAGGGGGCAAGCGUUGCUCGGAAUUACUGGGCGUAAAGGGCGCGUAGGCGGGAUGGCAAGUCGGUCGUGAAAUCCCUCGGCUCAACCGAGGAACGUCGAUCGAUACUGCUGUUCUUGAGGAUUGCAGAGGAGACUGGAAUUCUCGGUGUAGAGGUGAAAUUCGUAGAUAUCGAGAGGAACAUCGGUGGCGAAGGCGGCCUUCUGGACGAUGACUGACGCUGAGACGCGAAAGCGUGGGGAGCAAACAGG
rnacentral:rRNA from 1 species